rnacentral:rRNA from 1 species
GACGGCUGUAACUAUAACGGUCCUAAGGUAGCAAAUUUCCUUGUCGUCCUAAUAACGACCUGCAUGAAACAUAGAACGAUUCGAUAGCUGUCUUGCACACACAUCAUGGUAAAAUAUUCAUCAGUACAAAUAAUAUGCUGCCGAAGAUCAAGCACACUAAAGGACAAAAAGACCCUCUGAAGCUUUAUAGGGAUAAAACUUUGGCACCAAACCUUUAUAAAAUUGCUAUCACCUGCACAAAUACCUCUUAAAGAGGCUUGCUUGAGCCUAGGUGUCAGUUGGGAUUUAAGAUCAAGACCACUGUUUAAUUGGGGCGAUAACCUUAUCUAAGCCACCUAAGGUGAACAAAGCGAUACAAGGAUCCUUAACAUGCCCAACUAAUAAGUGCAAAGAUACAUGUUUCGCUUAAUGGCUCAACAAGUCCUUCCCAGUACUUAAAUGCUAUCUUAAUGAGCUUUAAAUUAAUCUACCAACACCAAGCUACUCUACGGAUAACAGGCUUAAUUUCCGAAAUACCCAAGGUCACAUUAUCAAUAUUCCAGCGCCUCGAUGUCGGCUUAUCAUCAUCCUAAAUUUGUAGCUAGAUUAUUGGGUGGGAGUGCUCAUCCCGUAAUAAGGUACGUGAGCUGGGUUCAAUACG